rnacentral:rRNA from 1 species
CAGUCGCCGCGGUAAUACAGAGGGUGCGAGCGUUAAUCGGAUUUACUGGGCGUAAAGCGUGCGUAGGCGGCUAAUUGAGUCGGAUGUGAAAUCCCCGAGCUUAACUUGGGAAUUGCAUUCGAUACUGGUUAGCUAGAGUGUGGGAGAGGAUGGUAGAAUUCCAGGUGUAGCGGUGAAAUGCGUAGAGAUCUGGAGGAAUACCGAUGGCGAAGGCAGCCAUCUGGCCUAACACUGACGCUGAGGUACGAAAGCAUGGGGAGCAAACAGGAUUAGAUACCCCUGUAGUCCCUGUCUCUUAUAA